rnacentral:misc_RNA from 1 species
UUAAGUUCAGCGGGUAGUCCUACCUGAUUUGAGAUCGAACGUUAAAAAGCUGUCCUCGCUGAGGAGAGACAUCUGUGAGCUCCAGCGAACCUUUGUCACCAAAGGUUACCUGGUGGACAACCGCGAGCGUAGAUAGUUAUCACACUCGUGAUGCCACCAAACACCGGGAGGCUGAUUCAUUUGAGAGGAGCCGACCACAG